AUGAUGGUGCUGCCAUGCUUACUUUUGAGGCUCUCUCUGAAACAUCCGAGUUCGCAAGGAAAUGGGUCCCAUUCUGCAAAAAGUUCAACAUAGAGCCUCGAGCGCCGGAGUGGUAUUUUUCUCUGAAGGUUGAUUAUCUGAAAAAUAAAGUACACCCAUCAUUUGUGAGGGAACGUCGUGCUAUGAAGGUGUGCGAAUUAUCAAAUUUAUGUUCUUCUCGACAUUUUCCUUUGAUGGUAUGACUAUAAAAAUCUGUUGCUAAGACAACCUGGGACUACUCUUUUUUGUGCAGAGAGAUUAUGAAGAAUUCAAGGUUCGGAUAAAUGGGCUGGUUGCCACAGCACAAAAGGUUCCCGAAGAUGGCUGGACCAUGCAAGAUGGAACGCCUUGGCCAGGAAAUCUUGUCAGGGAUCAUCCUGGAAUGAUUCAGGUAUAAGUCUGAUCUCUUUUAUAUCCUAACUUUAAUGGUGAUAUUUUAAGAUUUAACUAUUGUGAACUAACCAAAUUUUCAUUCUUGUAAUUGAAAAGGUCUUCCUGGGUAAUGAUGGUGUCCGUGAUAUUGAAGGGAAUGUAUUGCCUCGCCUUAUCUAUGUUUCUCGUGAAAAACGUCCUGGAUUUGACCACCACAAGAAGGCUGGUGCCAUGAAUGCUUUGGUAAGUUGUCUUCCAUUUCUCCUCAUUCUUCCUCCUCCCUUCCUUCCUUUUUAAAAAAUUUGCACUGGAUAGGCUUUUGACCCUUUAUAAAAUGUGAUUCUAGAUGCGUGUAUCAGCAGUCAUAUCAAAUGCUCCUUACAUGCUCAAUGUGGAUUGUGAUCACUAUAUAAAUAACAGUAAGGCACUGAGAGAAGCUAUGUGCUUUAUGAUGGACCCCACUUCAGGAAAGAAAAUAUGCUACGUACAAUUUCCUCAAAGAUUUGAUGGUAUUGACAGGCAUGACAGAUAUUCCAACCGCAAUGUGGUCUUCUUUGAUGUACGUAAAAUGCCUUCUUCGGGGGUUUUUGUUAUGGAAUGUUGCACCUAUGCACUGUUUAUGUUAUUGCAUAAGUUUACGAUAUGCACCAUUUUGCCUGACAGUAAGCUAAUUUUAUUCCAUUUGCGGUAACAGAUCAAUAUGAAAGGACUUGAUGGGAUCCAGGGUCCAAUUUAUGUGGGCACUGGAUGUGUCUUCAGGAGGCAAGCCCUUUAUGGUUAUGAUGCUCCAAAGAAGACAAAACCUCCAGGAAAAACAUGCAACUGCUGGCCGAAAUGGUGUUGCUGUUGUUUCGGUUCUCGAAAGAAGCAUAAGAAAGCGAAAACAACCAAGGAUAACAAAAAAAAGCCAAAGAGCAAAGAGGCUUCACCACAAAUUCAUGCCCUUGAAAAUAUUGAGGAAGGAAUUGAAGGUAUGCAAAGGAACUUUGAGAAGCCACUCCUAAUGGCUAAUUUGUAGACUUAAGUCUUUAGAUUAAUAAAUUUGGAUCCCUUUUCAACUUGCCUCUUUUGCAAGGAAACAUCCUAAUGGAACUACUUUCGAAGUUCCUCUAUCCCAACUCUUUUAUGUUUUAUUUUUUCAUCAUCCCUCUUUUUUGAUUAAAUCAGAUUUACAAUCUCUAGAGCAUGUUCUUCCUCCCUUACUCAUAGUGAAACUUCAGAUUACUGUAUGCAUAAUUGUUGUUAACUUACUUUUUUCUGCAGGAAUUGAUAGUGAAAAAGCAGCCCUCAUGCCUCAGAUAAAACUUGAGAAGAAAUUUGGCCAAUCACCGGUAUUUGUUGCUUCAACACUUCUAGAAGAUGGUGGCAUUCCUCCAGGAGCAACAUCAGCA
rnacentral:lncRNA from 1 species